rnacentral:lncRNA from 1 species
UUUUUUUUUUUUUGGUCGGAAAAACUGAUAUAUUAUACGAACAUGUGCAUACAACCAGCAAGUAGUGCAUCUGUAAGGACAAUAUUCUGGAAAGCAAAAGGAGUAAAAACAAGCCAGUUUGAAACAGAUCCAUUGGCCCGAUGGGCUUUGGCGGCCCAGUCUGCAGCUAGGUUGGCAUCGCGAGAGACAUGAUGAAUCGAGGUAUUAGGGCAUUGAGAGAGUAGUUCGUGAAGAACGGCAAGAAGAUGUCGCUCCUGCCAUGGCUGCGGCUAGUGAUGCCGAAGGAUCUCCACCAAGAAAAGGCAGUCCGAUUCAACCAGAACUCGAUGGUGCUGAUGCCGCUGCUUGAUCAGGUGCUGAAAGGCCCGAAUCAUCGCGAAGAUCUCCGCUU